rnacentral:sRNA from 1 species
UAAUGAGAUACCUGUGGGACUGUGCCCCCA